rnacentral:lncRNA from 1 species
GGCGCAUUUUCGGUAUAAAAUAAAGUCAAUACUCAUGUAGAGUUUAGCAGCUCACACUUUCUAUUGCUUCAAAUACGCAAAUGAGAGAUAUGGAAAUUUUACCCACGUAGAACGAUAUGUUUCUGAAAAUAUAGCAGUGCAUUUCUGUAGAGCCUCUAGAUUGUUAAUAAAACUCACGUCAAAUCGUAAUCAUUGCUGAUUAAAC